UAAUACGGAGGAUCCAAGCGUUAUCCGGAAUUAUUGGGUUUAAAGGGUCCGUAGGUGGAUAAUUAAGUCAGUAGGUGAAAUCCUGCAGCUCAACUGUAGAAUUGCCUUUGAUACUGGUUAUCUUGAGUUAUUAUGAAGUGAUUAGAAUGUGUAGUGUAGCGGUGAAAUGCAUAGAUAUUACACAGAAUACCGAUUGCGAAGGCAGAUCACUAAUAAUCAACUGACACUGAGGGACGAAAGCGUGGGUAGCGAACAGGAUUAGAUACCCUGGUAGUCCACGCCGUAAACGAUGGUCACUAGCUGUUUGGACUUCGGUCUGAGUGGCUAAGCGAAAGUGAUAAGUGACCCACCUGGGGAGUACGUUCGCAAGAAUG
rnacentral:rRNA from 1 species